CACUCCCUGUACUCCUUCUGGGUCCUAACCAGCGCCACCUGCAGCCCCGUCGUCUUCUCCGUAACUCCUCUGGGACCACAGGCCUGUCUCCGGGCAGCAGCAGAGGCUUACACAGCGCAAUCAGC